AGCGAACGCUGGCGGCGUGGAUUAGGCAUGCAUGUCGAGCGUGAACGGGGAGCAAUCCCUUAGUACAGCGGCACACGGGUCAGUAAUGCGUGGAUAACUUGCCCUCGAGACUGGGAUAACGGCGGGAAACUGCCGCUAAUACCGGAUGGCCUCGCGAACCGGCAUCGGAUUGCGAGUAAAGGUGGGGACCGAAAGGCCUGCUGCUCGUGGAGAGGUUCACGACCUAUCAGCUAGUUGGCGAGGUAACGGCUCACCAAGGCGACGACGGGGUAGGCGGGCUGAGAGGCUGACCGCCGACACUGGGACUGAGAACUGCCCAGACUCCUACGGGAGGCUGCAGUCGAGAAUCUUCCGCAAUGGACGCAAGUCUGACGGAGCGACGCCGCGUGCGGGAUGAAGGUCUUUGGAUUGUAAACCGCUGUCACGCGUUAUGAAUGCGCAACAGCAAAUACCUGUUGCGUUGACAAAGGCGCGAGA
rnacentral:rRNA from 1 species